GCUGGGCAUGGUGGCGCAUGCCUGUAAUCCCAGCUACUCGGGAGGCUGAGGCAGGAGAAUCGCUUGAACCCAGGAGGCGGAGGUUACAGUGAGCCAAGAUCGCACCACUGCACUCCAGCCUGGGGUGACAAAGCGAGACUCUGUCUUAA
ensembl:misc_RNA Metazoa_SRP Metazoan signal recognition particle RNA